AGAUUUGGUGGAAGAGGUGGCUGUGCUGGCCCGUCCUCCCCCUGCUCCGUGGCAGCCCUGCACAGCCCCCUGGAAGAAAGUCCUUCCCCUGUGGAGGAGGAAUGCUCCUCCUGCUAGGGCAACACACUGCAGCCGAGCUCCCCGGCUAGAGCUUCCAGAUGAGCUCUCGGUGCCCAAUUAUGGGGGAUUUCUUCAGGGCAAAACAGAAACAGCAAAUUAAAAAAUCCCUGUGUGCUGAUUUUUUUU
rnacentral:sRNA from 1 species